AAAAAGGCUCUUUUCAGAGCCAAAAAAUAUUUAUCAUUAAAAAAAA
rfam:Acyrthosiphon pisum strain LSR1 Contig19246, whole genome shotgun sequence.